GUUUUACCUUGACGAAUUGUAGUUUAAAGAAGUGUUUUCUGUUGAAGUUUCGGUAAAAGUUCUUUGGAAUAGGACAUCAUAGAGGGUGAGAAUCCCGUAUUUGACCGUUAUUUUCAGCUGUGUGAUACACUUUCAAAGAGUCGGAUUGUUUGGGAAUGCAGUCCAAAAUGGGUGGUAAAUUUCAUCUAAAGCUAAAUAUUGGCGAGAGACCGAUAGCGAACAAGUACCGUGAGGGAAAGAUGAAAAGAACUUUGAAAAGAGAGUUAAACAGUACGUGAAAUUGUCAAAAGGGAAGCGUUUGACACCAGUGUUGUUUUCUCGAAAAUCAAUUAAAAAUGGCUUGAUUUUGUGUUGUAUUGACCUUAAAAGCUUUCUUCACUUUUUUCAUGUCUUUUUU
rnacentral:rRNA from 1 species